CCCUUCUCCAGCAAUCCUGAAUAGUGUAUAUAGUACACAACUGCCCCAUUUUAGUAUUGCAUUGCAAAAGAACAAACACAACAUUUUUAAAUACUUUUAGUUCACAUUUUUUAAUGUUUAAAAACUAUGUUAACAGAGCAGUUAUAGAACAGAACUUCUUAUAUUUCUUUAUUUACACCACACUCUGAAAAAAAAAACCCAGUUCUAUUUGAUUAACUAUGAAUAGCAAAGUUUUGUGACUUGUGACUCACUUAAAUCACCCAUCUGAAAUUCAUUUACAAGGUUUUUACAUUAAUAAAACAGUAGUGUGGUACAUGUAUUGGACUCAGAUGAAGUCUAAAGUACACUGGACUCUAGAGAGUGGAUUACAUACCAACGACCAAGAUUCAAGUGUUUGGGGAAAAAAAUACCUUAGACAGUCUAUGUUGGCGUCAACACUAAAAUAAAAGGCAAACAUGCAGGACUUUCAAAGCUUGAUUAGAUAAUGGUUCUUUGUUUUCUUUCCUUCAAAUUUGUGCUCAUAAUUAAUAUUCAGGUUCCCUCUCCCCGCUUUCAUAGAUCCCAAAGUUUGAGAAAUGCAGCAAUUCAAUUGUGAAAAAAACAUUCUUCUCCCCAGCUUCUGUUUUCAUAUGUACUGUGUAGUGGUAUCAGUGUUAAAAAUGGAAGAUCAUUAUGAAGAAACAAUUUGUCAUUUGGGUAUAUCUGUUUCUAUAGGACAAGGAUUUGUGUCUAAAUAUUCCUUACUUGUAUCUCAGAGGACUAUCUGUUAAAUAAUUGAUCUUAAUGCCAGCAUAAGAAAUCAAGGGAACUAUUUCUCAGACAUUUCUUUCUCUAAAUUAAGUAGGGUUUCAGGUUCCAAGUUUACAUUGAGAGAACUAUGUUACCUGGGAGAGAAUGUAAAUUUUUCUAAUUCCCAAACAAAACCACUAAUUUCUAGGAAACAUUUAUUGUUUAUAUGCAGAUCCUAGAGACUUCUAUUUCAGUGCAGAUCAACAACUUCAAAAAUAUACAGCCUCCUAUUUAUUUACAAUAAUAUUUACAUACAAAUGAAGUAUUUCCUGCAAUAAGCCUCAGCUGCAUAGAUUCUUCCUUUAAAAACGUAAAUUUGAGCCUGUAUACAGAUGGGCCCAGUUUCAUAGCCCUUCCUUAGAUAAAAGCCUAAAGAAGGAAAAUGUCUGCACCUUGUGAACUUUACAUAUUUUGCAAGAACUUUCUCUUUGAGAUUUAGUGAUAGUUUUUAGUUGUUAGACACCCCACCUUCAGCUUGUACCUGAAAGCUUUAUCUCGUUAUAAAUAAUUCACUGUAAUUUAGGGGAAGUAUGUCCUGUUGCUAAAGGAUUCUCAAACCUGCCAUCCCCAAGGAAAAUCAUGUAUUAGUAUUGCUAAAUGAUGGUCUGUAUAUUCUUUGUUUUGAAGGUGGCUAGAUGUUUGCUGUAAACUUGAAUGGGAGAAUUAUAUUCUUAAAGUUUACACCCCCUAUAAGCCUAAAGCCAUUUAAAUUGAUAAACUGAGAGAGACUAAUAGAUUUUGCUCUAAGGUAUAAAAUCCAUUAUCUGAUCAUAUUCCUGACCUCCCCCCGACUCCAACUAAAUGUGCCAUAGUCCAACACUGUGCCUCACUGAAUUGGAACUCAGUAUUUCAUUCUUUUGAGAGCAGUUUGUAGCUCCUUAAGCAGAGCAGACCUUUCAGUAGAGAAUUCGCUUUAAAAGGAGGACAGGAUUAUCACCACACGAUUAACACAAACACUGGAGAACUUCUGACACAAAUUCAGUAUUUCUUCUAAGUCUGCAUUUACAAAGGGUCUUUUAUUUUAAUUUCUUUCACAACUGCCUCGCCCCAACCAAAGCCUCACUUUCAUUUCCUCACAGCUUUAAAAAAUAAAAUAUUAUCAUGCCUCAGCCCGAGGUAACACCGAGUGCAGGCAGCCUGUGUUUAGGAAUUUGCACCUGCGCUGCUAUUUUCAACGAGAAGGGGAUAACCAGGUGGCAGCGCUGGAUUCACUCACUUUCUUGCCAUUGCAGAGACCCCUGCCGCCAGGCUCCUUUCCUCCCCUCCCUAAAGCCUGGCUCCUGUAUGUUGCACCAUGAGUCCUAGGAAUCAUCUGGUGAGGGAGGACUAAUGGGAAGUAAAAGGGAGACUCAUUGGCUUAGGGUGGUUCUCAAACUUGAUGCGCUUUAGAAUCAUUUGCUGAGUCCCUCCCUGAGAGCUUCUGACUUCACCAUGUCUGGGAGGGGGCUGAGAAUCUGCAUUCUAAUGAGGUCCCCGAUGAUGCUGAUGCUACUGGUCUAGGGGCCACACUUUGAGAACCACUGGCUUAGAGGCAUGAAUCAAGCUCUAGAAAGCAGUCAGUUCCAGGGUAAUAGUCUUAGGUGCUCGCCGAAGCACUGAGGAAUCUUACCACAACCCUGUGUCCACCACAAGCCCUAUCACCAUCACCCAUCUGGGUGCUUCUUUUUCUCAACAGGGUCUGUAACUGUAAAAAAGGAAAGUGGGUGGAGAGGUUUUUUUUUCCCCCUUUUUUCUUGUUUUCUAACCUCCCAGCUUAUUCCUGGAGAGUUAAAACACAGUUACUAGCACUAAAAACAUUAAAAGUGCUGCGCGCUGGCCUCAAUGACUGGUACACCAUGUUUCAGGCCAAUCUGGUCACCUGUAGUCUGGUGGCAUCUCUACCCCUACUGUCCAGUAGGUGGGAUGUGGCUGGGAUGGACAGUCCAGAUUCUACUAACAGGCAACUCUGAACAAACACCCUCCCUGGAAACAAUAUUAUAUUUGAUGGUUAGAUUCUUUAGCAAACCUAUUACAUUAUUCGAUGUCAGCUAACCUAUUGGUUUGAUCAUCUUUUCCAGCUGCUCUAGGGGCCUAACCACCAUGGAUAACCUGGUCUCUAAAGGAAAAUACAUUCCAGGUUGCAAACAACCAACUGACAACCUUUUGGAAUAUGAUCUCCUUAUACACUGGGGCUGCCUGUGCCUAAACACAGUAGAUUUCCCUCCUGUGCGUAUUUCAUCAGCCCCACUUCCAAUAAGUAACAUUAAGUAAAUUAGGGAUUGACAGUAUUCUGUGUUACAAUAACUAGAGAACAGUUCUAAGUCCAAAGUGUGGAACUGGCACUGUUCACUAGUAUAGAGAUCCUACCUACCAAAGGAAAACGUGCUGCUCCCCAUGCCUAGGGUAUAGUAUUCUUUAAUCUACUAAUUUAGCAGAAAAACUUCCAUAGCACUUGACUGUGCUGUUUAAAUUCGACCUAACAUCUGUGAUACAUGUAUUUUUGGCUACCAAUUAACUAUUCUGAAUAAGAAUAAGAGCAGUAUACUUUACAGCUAAUCUCACACAAAGGAUGUAACUAAUCAGUGAUAUUUGACGAAUUAUGGUAGGGUCUAUUAUAUUCAGUCAACAACAAAUUUAGAGAAACAUACAAAGGUUUUUAAAAAUAUGGGUGGUGUCACACAGAUCAACAACACUGUGCCUCCUCUAAAUAAAUCUAUUUUAAAUAAAUAUUCCUUGUAUUGACACAUGAAACCCAGAGGCCCAAAAAUAUCACUACACAUCCCAGUUAAUGAUAAGGUUCUAAAUUGACUUUGUGAGGGUAAAAUGAAUUGCUAUAAAGUAACAAGGAAAAUAGAAAGUAGCAUAAUAUAGCUUGCAAACUAAAUUAUGUAUUUUUAAAGGUACAGUCAUCCCACUACCUGGCUAUUUCAUUACUUGGUGCUCUAGACAAGCUCCCAAGAACUGACUGGAUCUUGGCUUGUUCUGUUUCUGUCAUUGCUAAUAUAAUAUGGAAAACAUUGCUGAAAAGAACAGAGAUGGCCAUGGAUAUGGCUAGGUUAGGUAUUCAUAUCCAAAUAUCUGAACUCUAACCUAAUGUGGAUAUGAUUCUGUAGCAUUAUAUUAAAAGCUAUGAUGAUGCAAUGCAGGAAAUAACCUUUCAUUCUCCCCCCUAGAGGAUCACGACAGGUGCUUCAAUGCCUGCCUUAUCUAUGGGACAGUAGUGUGAUUCUCAGUGAGAGUGAAGGCCUUUGGGGAUUUGAGUCAGGAAGGGAACAUGGCUAAGUGCCUGGAAACUCUGCCAACAGUCUGCGGUUAGAUUCUACUUGUCUCUGGAUAAGAAAUCUGUGCUCAGUGAACUUAUGUGUUUGGAAAAUUUAACCAGAAUAUAGAGGAAGCAUAAGUCCUGUUUCAAGAGACCAGCUCACGGAGCAUGCACAUUUCUCACCAUAGGCAAGCUAUGGACAAUUCAAUCACAUGGGAUGGCCCCACUUAGGGGAAUGCAGUUCUGGGUUUCCUUGCUAUCCCUAUUCUUUUUCAGCUACAAACUCUCUUCUUUUUCAGUCUCUUCAGUUUCCUUGUGCUCCCUUUAGGAGAGGGACAAGGGUAAGAGUACCAGGCAACUCUGUCCUCCUGCAUGGACAGUUGAGACGGGCAGUAAUGGCACAGUCCUUGGUUGGGGAAGAGAAGAGGAGACAGCACAGACACUGAGACCCCCUUGUCUUCCUCAUCUGGGGGAAGGAAGGUACUCAGUGAUUCUGUCAGAAGCUCUUCACAAAGACUAUCUCUGAGGGUUUUUUUUUUUUUUUUUUCACAAGACUAGAUGGAGAAUUAAUGAAGAAGAAAUAGAAAUGAGGCUUAUUUAAGGUACAAAAUUCUUGUAUUUGUAAUAACCUAGAUUUAUAGAUAUAAAACAAGUCUUUUAAAGACUUCCCUAAAAUACUCAAUAUAAAACAGGAGUUACUUAUCCU
rnacentral:lncRNA from 10 species